rnacentral:rRNA from 1 species
AUUGAACGCUGGCGGCAUGCUUUACACAUGCAAGUCGAACGGUAACAGGUUAAGCUGACGAGUGGCGAACGGGUGAGUAAUGCAUCGGAACGUGCCCGAUCGUGGGGGAUAACGCAGCGAAAGCUGUGCUAAUACCGCAUACGAUCUGAGGAUGAAAGCGGGGGACCGUAAGGCCUCGCGCGAUCGGAGCGGCCGAUGUCAGAUUAGGUAGUUGGUGGGGUAAAGGCCCACCAAGCCGACGAUCUGUAGCUGGUCUGAGAGGACGACCAGCCACACUGGGACUGAGACACGGCCCAGACUCCUACGGGAGGCAGCAGUGGGGAAUUUUGGACAAUGGGCGAAAGCCUGAUCCAGCAAUGCCGCGUGCAGGAAGAAGGCCUUCGGGUUGUAAACUGCUUUUGUACGGAGCGAAAAGGUCCUUUCUAAUACAAGGGGCUCAUGACGGUACCGUAAGAAUAAGCACCGGCUAACUACGUGCCAGCAGCCGCCGUAA